ensembl:piRNA 21ur-15607 ncRNA
CUAAUAAUCGGCCCCUUCAAA